CCUACGGGGGGCAGCAGUGGGGAAUAUUGCGCAAUGGGCGAAAGCCUGACGCAGCGACGCCGCGUGAGGGAUGAAGGUCUUCGGAUCGUAAACCUCUGUCAGCAGGGAAGAACGGUCACUGUGCUAAUCAGCAGUGAAUUGACGGUACCUGCAAAGGAAGCACCGGCUAACUCCGUGCCAGCAGCCGCGGUAAUACGGAGGGUGCGAGCGUUAAUCGGAAUUACUGGGCGUAAAGCGCUCGUAGGCGGUAUGUCAAGUCAAGGGUGAAAUCCCCGCGCUCAACGUGGGAACUGCCUUUGAAACUGGCAAACUGGAGUGUGUGAGAGGAUAGUGGAAUUCCAGGUGUAGGGGUGAAAUGCGUAGAUAUCUGGAGGAACAUCAGUGGCGAAGGCGACUAUCUGGCACAUAACUGACGCUGAGGAGCGAAAGCGUGGGUAGCAAACAGGAUUAGAUACCCUUGUAGUC
rnacentral:rRNA from 1 species